rnacentral:rRNA from 1 species
AAGUGGGAUGACGUCAAAUCAUCAUGCCCGUAUGACCUGGGCUACACACGUGCUACAAUGGUUGGUACAACGAGUUGCGAGUCGGUGACGGCGAGCUAAUCUCUUAAAGCCAAUCUCAGUUCGGAUUGUAGGCUGCAACUCGCCUACAUGAAGUCGGAAUCGCUAGUAAUCGCGGAUCAGCACGCCGCGGUGAAUACGUUCCCGGGCCUU